UGAUGGAGGUCGUGGAUCAGGUGGUAGGAGAGGACGAGGUGGUUGGCGAGGAGGUCGAGAUCAAAGUGGUAGAGGAAGAUCCUUCAAUCAAGGACGGUCUAGUAGCUGGACUACUGAUGGUGAAGAUAAUAAUAAUAAUUCUAAUAAUGUAUCAUUUAAGGGUAACCAGUCUAGUUGGAGUAAUUCACAGGAACAUGGUAAAAAUGUUAAUGAAGACACCAGUGGUCCUAAUAAUCAAUCGUCUGAUUUCCAGAGCACUGGUGGUUGGGGUGCUUCCAAACCAUCAAAUGAUGGAUGGUCUUCUAGUUGGAAUAAAAAUUCAGCCACGACUGAGGUAGGAAGUUCUGGUGGAAACCAGUCAGAUUGGGACAAAAAAUCUGGUGAAGUGGGUGGAGCCGCUGGUUGGGACAACAAGAUUACCCAGAAAGCUUCAGAAGGUAACAACUCUGCAUGGAAUAGCAAAUCUGCAGUCGAACAAGAUGGAAAUGGAAAAAAUCAAAAUGAUCCAUGGAAAAAGACUUCUGAUGGAGAUUCAUCUACUGGAUGGGGUCAAAGUAAUUCGUGGAAGAGUGGAACUAAUGAUGCGGGUGGAACUCAAGAUUCUUGGAGCAGCAAAAGUAACUGGAGUUCUGGAAGUGGC
rnacentral:misc_RNA from 1 species